AAAUCCUACGGGACGCAGCAGUGGGGAAUAUUGGACAAUGGGGGGAACCCUGAUCCAGCGACGCCGCGUGAGUGAAGAAGUAUUUCGGUAUGUAAAGCUCUAUCAGCAGGGAAGAAAAUGACGGUACCUGACUAAGAAGCCCCGGCUAACUACGUGCCAGCAGCCGCGGUAAUACGUAGGGGGCAAGCGUUAUCCGGAUUUACUGGGUGUAAAGGGAGCGUAGACGGCAGCGCAAGUCCGCAGUGAAAGCCCGGGGCCCAACCCCGGGACUGCUUUGGAAACUGUGAAGCU
rnacentral:rRNA from 1 species